GAAAUGCGAUAAGUAAUGUGAAUUGCAGAAUUCAGUGAAUCAUCGAAUCUUUGAACGCACAUUGCGCCCGCCAGUAUUCUGGCGGGCAUGCCUGUUCGAGCGUCAUUUCAACCAUCAAGCCCCGCGCUUGUGUUGGGGACCUGCGGCUGCCGCAGGCCCUGAAAACCAGUGGCGGGCUCGCUGUCACACCGGGCGUAGUAGAUUUUAUCUCGCUCAGGGCGUGCUGCGGGUUCCGGCCGUUAAAAAGCCUUUUUUACCCAAGGUUGACCUCGGAUCAGGUAGGAAGACUCGCUGAACUUAAGC
rnacentral:misc_RNA from 1 species